UACGUAGGGCGCAAGCGUUGUCCGGAAUUAUUGGGCGUAAAGAGCUCGUAGGCGGUUUGUCGCGUCUGCCGUGAAAGCCCGGGGCUUAACUCCGGGUCUGCGGUGGAUACGGGCAGACUAGAGGCAGGUAGGGGAGAACGGAAUUCCCGGUGUAGCGGUGAAAUGCGCAGAUAUCGGGAGGAACACCAAUGGCGAAGGCAGCACUCUGGGACGUGACUGACGCUGAGACGCGAAAGCGUGGGGAGCAAACAGG
rnacentral:rRNA from 1 species